AGGAUCAUUAUCAUGUAAUUUCAGUCCAUGGCUCUCUCUUUGGCUGUAUUAUAUAUAUACCCACUCUGCGUACAUUUUCCUGUUGCUUACGCCGGGCAGCAUUGCCUGGCGGAAGGGUAAAAAUAACCUCUGAGUAUUGAAAUAAUAUCCUCUGUCUGAAUCGAAUAAAAAAGAAAAAAAUAUUAAAACUUUCAGCAACGGAUCUCUUGGUUCUCGCAUCGAUGAAGAACGCAGCGAAAUGCGAUAAGUAGUGUGAAUUGCAGAAUUCAGUGAAUCAUCGAAUCUUUGAACGCACAUUGCGCCUUCUGGCAUUCCGGGAGGCAUGCCUGUUCGAGAGUCAUUAACAACCAUUUCGAAUCCACCUUUUCUUUGUGAGGGGGGGGAAAUCGGUGCUGGUGGCGGAGGAACGAGUUUGUUGGGCUUGCCCACUAUAUGUUUGGCAAAUCUCUCCUCCCCGCUGAAAUUUGGCGGUGGGAUAUUUGGGUUUGGUGGGAUUUUGAGGGGAUAUGAUGACUGAUAAUCUUCUUCUCCUCACUUUCUUAACCCAGUCACAGUCCCCCAAUAUAUAUAUAUAUUAUAUCAAAGGUUGACCUCGGAUCAGGUAGGGAUACCCGCUGAACUUAAGCAUAUCAAUAAGCGGAGGAAAAGAAACCAACCGGGAUUGCCUCAGUAACUGCGAGUGAAGUGGCAAAAGCUCAAAUUUGAAAUCCGGUACCUUUUUGGUGCCUGAGUUGUAAUUUGGAGAGACAA
rnacentral:rRNA from 1 species